AGUGAACGCUGGCGGUAGGCCUAACACAUGCAAGUCGAACGGCAGCACAGUAAGAGCUUGCUCUUACGGGUGGCGAGUGGCGGACGGGUGAGGAAUACAUCGGAAUCUACUUUUUCGUGGGGGAUAACGUAGGGAAACUUACUCUAAUACCGCAUACGACCUACGGGUGAAAGCAGGGGAUCUUCGGACCUUGCGCGAAUGAAUGCGCCGAUGUCGGAUUAGCUAGUUGGCGGGGUAAAGGCCCACCAAGGCGACGAUCCGUAGCUGGUGUGAGAGGAUGAUCAGCCACACUGGAACUGAGACACGGUCCAGACUCCUACGGGAGGCAGCAGUGGGGAAUAUUGGACAAUGGGCGCAAGCCUGAUCCAGCCAUACCGCGUGGGUGAAGAAGGCGUUCGGGUUGUAAAGCCCUUUUGUUGGGAAAGAAAAGCAGCAGGUUAAUACGCCGCUGUUCUGACGGUACCCAAAGAAUAAGCACCGGCUAACUUCGUG
rnacentral:rRNA from 1 species